CCUUAUUCUUCGUUCUUCUUCUCCUCCUCUCUUCCUAUGUUCGAUAUCUGCAGACUCGCUGAUAGUUUUGUGUUAGAAUCAUUAAAGUAAAAUUAUAUGUUGAAGCUCGACGAUGAAGAUGGUGUGGAUGUAAUCUAUGAAGAAGAUCAAUUGAAAAUUGAUUUGGUUUUCGGGAUAAUCUGAUAAGAACGAAAUUAGGGUUUGCAUGAAGAUUAAGAGAUGAAAUUGUUGUUCUAGGAGCAUGAAUUCGUAUGGGUUUAUGUUUAAUUGGGUGAUAUGAAGUUUUUUUGCUGAAGAAACAGUGAUUUCGGGUUUGUAAGGAAUUCAGAGAGGCUGUAGAAGAUGAAUUGAAGGAUGGGUUUGCUUUAAUUGAAGACCUGGAUUGAUAUUUUUAUCUCAGGUGAAGUAGAAGCUCAUGCAACUGCAAAGUCAGAAUUAGGGUUUCUGAGUUCAGUUUUGAAGUUAGAAAUUGUUCCUGAUUUGAUCGGUUUGUGAUGGGUUUUCGCUGUUGGAAACAAGGGUGAAGAAUUAACAACCGAUUGUGAGUUUGAAAACUGGAUUUGGAAGCUAAGAUUUAGAUCUGCUAAAAACAAGAUGAUGGAGUUGAUGCUGGAACUCAGGGAGAAUGAAAAAGGUAUUUUUUUAGGGGUUUUAUUGUUAAUUUAAAUGUGUAUAUGAGAUUUAUGAAAUUCAGUAAAUUUGUUUUGACGGGUUGUUGUUGAUUGAGGAAGAGAUGUUUGCAUGAAACUUAAAUUUAAGAAAUUGAAUCUCAGGUUAAGGAUAUUUGGGAUUUGAGGAGAAUUCUGGAAUUAUGGAAGAGCAUGGGUAAACUGUGGUGUUUGUUGUUUAGUAGUGGAACUAGUGUUGCUGCUGCUGGAAUCAAAUGUUGGGUGUUGGUGGAACUGAAUUGAUGAGUUGUUCAGUUUGAGAUGAAUUACUGAUUCAGGAUAAAGUAAUAAGAAGAAAUGAAUUCUAUUUCCUGAGCAACACAGGUUGAAGGCAAUGUAGUCGAUUUCGGCUAUCUCGGACGAGAUUCUAGCGAUUUUCCCGAUUUCGCUCAUGCAACCAGCGAAUUACAAGUUUUUGGUGAUACGAAAUUUCACUAAGAAUUUCGCCGGAACAGUUUUAAUCUCGCCUGGAUCGGUCUAAUCUCGGCCGGUAAUCGUCUCCAAUUUUCGAUCAUAUAUAUGGAACUUUUUCAUGAUUAAUUAUAAUUAGCGAUUUGUACUACUUUUCUGCGUCAAGAUUUCUACACAUAAUCAAUAGAAAGAUAACCGAAAAUGGAAACAAGGGUCUAAAAAAUCAUAUCUUUUAGCUAUUACAUAUACCAACCAAGGGUACCAAAUUCUAAAAAAUCCAAAAGUAGGAAAACCUAUACUAAUACAGAUGGCAAAUCAUUCUAAAACAAGAUUAGCUUCAUCUUCUUUAUCUGUUUUUUUCAUUUUUUUCGGUAGUAGCAAGCUGUUUCGUUUCAACCACAACAACUGUUCCAACUCGAAUCAAAAGAAACCCCAAUUAAUCUCCAUCUCAGUUAACUCUUUCGCAAUCAACAUCAAUCCUUCUCUUGUGCUUUUGGUUUUUCUGGGUUUUAUUUAUUUUAUCGAACAGUGGAUGAUGGUAGGGAAGGUAUAUCAUUCAAACACUUAGUUUCGUAUUCUUUGUAUGAAGAACACGUUUGAUAAAUAUUCGAUUGUGUAUACACCUGUUAUAUAGGUGUUCUUAUCUUACUGAUAAUAAAACAUUUAAUAUAUAUAUAUAUAUAUAUAUAAUUUAAGCAGCUACUGCGGAAAGUUAGCCGGAAAGUCCAGUGAGAAUCUCGGCGGGAUGAACUUGUUUCGGUGUCUCAAUCCCUGCCGAGACAAGCCGAAAUCCGAGAUUGUCCACAUUGGUUAGAGGGAUUGAGCUUUAAGAACUGGUGUUGGUACUGGUGUUGAUUGCAUGGAUUAUAGUGAACUGAUUAAUGGAAUGGUGUCACAGGGUAUGUAUGAGAAGAUAGUGUUAAUGGAAUUGCAGGUCAUGAGUUUUGGAUUCUUUGUAUACUAAUGGAACAGUUUUAGAAUGGAUGUGUAUUUGUUGAUGUUGCUGAUGAACAAAAUUGAGAAGCAUGAGCUGAACCUAAUAUUAGAACUGUAUUGGUGAAGUUGGUGGUUUGAGAUGGCAGAGUAAAGGAAUGUUAGGUUGGAAUUGGAGUUUCUGCGUGCAGGUGAAAUGAAAAUGGAAUUAGAAUCCUAAUGGUAGUAUAUUGAGCUGUGAUACAGAAUUACUUGAGAGUGAUUGUAUGAAUUUUGUAAUGCAACGGAGGUAAGAUGUAUUGUAAUGUUGGGGUAGAAUAUGGUGUUUGAGUUGGCAAGAUGGACAAAAGAUAAGAGUGGUGAUUGUAUGGUUACACUUUGUGGUAGCUUCAAUGAAGGCUUGUUGCUGCAGGUAAUCUAAGUUUGUAUUUGUAAGAAAAUUAUGAAGUCUAUAUGAAUUAAAUGUAUGAAUUAAGGGAUGUAUGAAAUGUUAUAGGGAAGUGAGAUGGAAAAGGAGUAGUUGCAAUGUUGUAAUGGCAGUGGUUGUGAAAAGCCUGCAAUUGCAGAUCAGGUAAACCUAGUUUGUAAUUGUAAUUGAAGUUUGAAGUUUAUUUAAGAAUAAUUGAAUUGUACAUUGGCUUUUGAAGUUC